GUUAACAUACAUUGACCCAAUAAUUUGAUCAAUGGAGUAAGUUACCCUAGGGAUAACAGCACAAUCCUAUUCUAGAGUCCAUAUUGACAAUAGUGUUUAUGACCUCGAUGUUGGAUCAGGACAUCCUAAUGGUGUAGCCACUAUUAAGGGUUCGUUUGUUUAACGAUUAAAGUCUUACAUGAUCUGAGUUCAGACCGGAGUAAUGCAGGUUGGUUUCUAUCUAAC
rfam:Papio anubis isolate 1X1155 chromosome 3, whole genome shotgun sequence.